rnacentral:rRNA from 1 species
UACAGAGGUCUCAAGCGUUGUUCGGAUUCAUUGGGCGUAAAGGGUGCGUAGGCGGCGCGGUAAGUCGGGUGUGAAAUCUCGGGGCUUAACUCCGAAACUGCAUUCGAUACUGCCGUGAUUGAGGACUGGAGAGGAGACUGGAAUUUACGGUGUAGCAGUGAAAUGCGUAGAUAUCGUAAGGAAGACCAGUUGCGAAGGCGAAUCUCUGGACAGUUACUGACACUGAGGCACGAAGGCCAGGGGAGCAAACGGG